GGCAUUUGACAAGGGAAGAGGACCAGUGCUGACCAAGUGAAGAAAAAGAAGAGUCUAUUGCCAAGCUUUGUACAGCAGCCAAUAUCUGAUUAAGGAGUGGGCAGACGGUUAUGCUGGCAUUGAUCCUGUUUCCAAAAGCAGAUCAACAUGAUUCCUCAAGACUCCAAAGAGAUCAACUAUGGGACCUGAAAAUAAAGGCAGACUGCCAUCAAUUUCAUGUUUCUUUGAUAGCAGACAAAUAUGCUUCAACAAUAGUGCAGAGAGUAAUUUAAGGUUUGGACUGCAAGUGAUGGACACACUAAAUAACUCAACUCAAAGAAUUCAAUGGAUAGUGCUGAGUACAUUAUUAUAUAUCUACAAAGUGAUGGGCACACUAAAUAGCUUAACUGACAGAAUUCAAUGGACCGUGCUGAGUACAUUGUUAUCUACAAAGUGAUGGACACACUAAAUAGCUUAACUCACAGAAUCCAAUGGACAGAGUUGUGUAUGUACUAAUAUCUACAAAGUGAUGGACACAGUAAACAGUUUAAUUCCCAGGAUUCAGUGUACCAUGCUGAGUACAUAACUCAUUAAGGAUAACUCAUAUGACAUCCACAGCAGAUCACUCAAAGUUGUGUUACUACAUUAUUGUACAACUUUUCAUAUACUACAUUAUUUUUUCUGAAUGUUUUUUUUUUGUAUCUGUAUAUUAUAUUUUUUAAUUUAAAAAAGUUAAAGAUUGGAUUUUUAAGCAAAAAUAUCAAGAGAGGUAAAUCAGUGCUUGUCUGAAUAUCUAAGCUGAAGAGAAAGGGAGGUAAUUUUUUUUAUUGUGAAUCCUUGUCCAGAGCAUAUGCUUUCUCCCCUUGGUCCAAUGUGGCUAAUACUCCUCUCACAGAGUGCC